AGAGUUUGAUCCUGGCUCAGGACGAACGCUGGCGGUGUGCUUCACACAUGCAAGUCGAGCGAAUGAAGAAGGUAGCUUGCUACUUUUGGAUUUAGCGGCGGACGGGUGAGUAAUAUAUAGGAAUCUGCCCUAGAGCGGGGAACAACAGACCGAAAGGUUUGCUAAUGCCCCAUAGGUACGCAGUCUUCGGAUUGUUUAUUAAAGGAGUAAUCCACUCUAGGAUGAGCCUGUAUCCGAUUAGCUAGUUGGCGGGGUAAAGGCCCACCAAGGCUACGAUCGGUAGUUGGUCUGAGAGGAUGAUCAGCCACAAUGGGACUGAGACACGGCCCAUACUCCUACGGGAGGCAGCAGUGGGGAAUUUUACACAAUGGGGGAAACCCUGAUGUAGCGACACCGCGUGAACGAAGAAGCCUUUUGGGGUGUAAAGUUCUGUCGGCUGGAACGAAAAAAAUGACGGUACCAGCAAAGGAAGCAUCGGCUAACUACGUGCCAGCAGCCGCGGUAAGACGUAGGAUGCAAGCGUUGUCCGGAUUUAUUGGGCGUAAAGAGUUCGUAGGCGGUUAUUUAAGUCUGAUGUUAAAUACUGUGGCCCAACCACAGAACUGCAUUGGAUACUGGAUGACUUGAGUGCGGUAGAGGCAAGUGGAAUUCCCAGUGUAGCGGUGAAAUGCGUAGA
rnacentral:rRNA from 1 species